rnacentral:rRNA from 1 species
AGAGGGUUUGAUCCUGGCUCAGGAUAAACGCUGGCGGCGUGCCUAACACAUGCAAGUCGAACGCUCUGUGGUUGCAAGACCGCAGAGAGUGGCGGACGGGUGAGUAAGACAUGGGUACCUACCCCCAAGUGAGGGAUACCGGCGAGAAAUCGCCGACAAGCCCGCAUACGGUCUUUUUCGUGCAAGCGAGGGAGAAGAAAGUCGCGAGACGCUGGGGGAUGGGCCUGUGGCCGAUUAGCUAGCUGGUGGGGUAAAGGCUCACCAGGGCGACGAUCGGUAGCUGGUCUGAGAGGACGAUCAGCCACACUGGGAUUGAGAACGGCCCAGACUCCUACGGGGGGCAGCAGUGAGGAAUUUUCCGCAAUGGUCGCAAGACUGACGGAGCAACGCCGCGUGCAGGAAGACGGCCUUCGGGUUGUAAACUGCUUUUCUGGGGGAAGAGAACGGGCGGUACCCCAGGAAGAAGCCCCGGCUAACUACGUGCCAGCAGCCGCGGUAAUACGUAGGGGGCGAGCGUUGUCCGGAGUUACUGGGCGUAAAGGGCAUGUAGGCGGUGCGACGCGUUUCCGGUGCCAGCUCCUUGCUUAACGA